UUGAGAAUCCUGGCCCUCCAUUAGAUCCAAAGGAUGAGAAUUUGCCACAAUUUUACACGGCUUCCCAAGAAAAAUUUGUUUCCCUCCCAAAAAAAAAAAGAAAAAAAAGAAAAGAAAGAAGGGAAAAAAGAAAGAAAGACUGUCUUCUUCCUAGCUUCAGUCAUUUGUUGCAGACCUCAAGCAAAAACAAUUCCGGCGGAAUUCCCCCCUUUUUCGGCGAUCUCCGCCCAUCUCCACCGCCGACCGAUCUCCCCCCAUUUCCGGCUCCGAUUUGCCCCCAUUUCCGGCAGAACUCCCCCCUUUUCCGGUGCCGACCCGAGAUCUUUGCCCGUCUCCACCGCUGACCGAGGUCUCUCUCUCUCGUUCCUCUUCUCACCUUUCCUUUUAUCUCGUUGCAGACCCACCGACCGCCACCCAUCGGAGCACCGCCCACCGCAGUUCCGGCGCCGAGCUGACCCCCGUAUUCUUUCUCUACGGAAGGCUAUUAGAUCAUUUCCUCUUCAGUGGUCCAAAGCAUUCACAGAAAUUUCAAGCACUGCUGACCAUCUCACAAGAGAAGUACCGAUCGAUGAUGAAACAAGAUCAUGUUGCUUUAGCUUUUUAAUUUUGUUUAUAGAAUUAUAUGUAACUAGGAUAUAGUGAAAUUUUUAUGUUGUAAUGUUGGAUAUGGGCUCAAGUUUGGCAUAUGGAGGAGAAUCACAAUUUUUGCACAAAAAUCAUGUUUGGGCACAUAAUCCCUUCUUAGUAAUAGGAAGACUGAGACUCAUAAUUUACUAAAAAAUUGAUUUAAA